rnacentral:lncRNA from 1 species
GGGAGGCGUGACUAUGUACUGCCUGAGUAGCUGCUAAGACUUCUUGCUGUCUAAUUUGCUCCUCAGUCCAUUUCACAGAAAGGGAACCUGGGGUUUAGGGAGGCCAAGGGAUCUAUCUCACACACAGAUUCUCUGUUCCCCUAUUUCUGCUAGAGCCAGCCUCCUUAUCUAUAGGUGAAGACUUUUCCCAACACCAAGCACAAGAUCAUGGCUCACUUUCUCUACUGAGAACAAUGAAUGAAUGGAUGGAGAGGGGGAGAAAGAGAGAAAAUGUCACAAGACCAAGGAGGAACUGAUCUAUAUGAAGCAUUAGAGCUGAUACUCUGCCCAUAGAGCCGGCUCUCCCUCGAGAAGGGCCCCUGGGGACCCAGAGAAUGUCACACUGGAUAUGGCUUUGACAGUAGUCAAGAACGGGGUCAAGAGGAGCUCACUGUGAAUGCUCCUUGGGAGUGCCUUGUCCACACCCCCAACCUGUACAACCCCUCACUCGGCAACUCUAACUUUACAGAGGAGGGGCAGGCAGGGACACUGUAGGAUAUCGGAAUGGGCUGCUAGUUGCCCUCCCUGCCCGCAAAGGACAGCCCCUAGGUGAAGUCUGUGCACCGCUUGCAGGGAUCUCAGAACCUUGAGGGGUAUCCACAGGCAGGAUAAGUCGCAGGACACCGAGGAUCGAAGCUCAGGGACACCUGAGUCUGUGCUGAAACUUGAAUUUGCCUUAAUGCUGGUGAGUCAACUGGUGGCCCAAUUCUCAAGUGAGCUAUUAGGCUUCUAGCCUAUUGCUCAAUUUAGCUAAUUCCACUCCUCCAGUCUCUGACUUUUGCAUCUUUAGGCUAACUACUGCCGCAGGCUGGGGCCAGCAGUCAGGAGGCUAGAGGUGGCUCACUGCUCUGCCGUGAGACCUUGGGCAGCACAUUUCACAGUUCACCUCUCAGGGCACUAUAUCCUCUUUCCCCGUGGAAUGGGUCUAACAUAGCUUACCCCACCUUCCCUACAGGCACUCAAGGUUCUGAGCACUAAAAACAGGUGCCCUCCAAGUGUGGGUAGACAGGGGGAAGGGAUUCUCGUUACAGCUCGAGUGGAACUCACUCAAAAGACACCAGGACUUGGUAGAAGAUCCCUAGACACCUCUCUCUUCUUCACACCUGUGACGGCAAGCCCCUCUUUCCUGGGGACUUAGAAGCCACCCAGUAUCUCCAGGACUACAUGGACCAGGGAAGCAGCAGCGCAGCUCAGUAGCAAAC